rnacentral:rRNA from 1 species
AUGUGCCCCCUAUGUGACACGGCGGAGGAUGCCAAUCACAUCUUCUUCUCCUGUUGCACGGCACAGUUCCUAUGGGCGUGUUUUCGCGAAACGGUUGGGGGACAGUGGUGUAAUAACAACUUCCUGGACUUGCUUGCGGAAAUCCAGGCCUCCCAUCCACGCUACAGACAUAUUAGAUGGCUGUGCGUUGGGGUGCUGGCUUGGACGUUGUGGACGGUUCGCAAUAAGCUUGUCAUUCAGAAGGUGCCUCUUCGACGUGCGACUGACUCCAUCUUCAAAAUGUGUGGUUACUUGCAGCUCUGGCGGCCGCUUAGCCGCCCUCCGGACCGGGAUGCCAUCGACAGACUCCUCUCCGACCUUCGUUCGUUGGCCUUCCGCCUGGCACCGCCGCUCCCGCCGCCUCCCCCGGAGCCCGACUAG